rnacentral:rRNA from 1 species
CAAUAGCGUAUAUUAAAGUUGUUGCAGUUAAAAAGCUCGUAGUUGAACUUCUGUACACAUCUGGUUUUGGCUUAGGUCAGGCCAUGUUGUGUACAUCCGUCUGCAAACUUAGCACGGACUUCACUGGCCGACUAAGGGAGUAGACAUUUUACUUUGAAAAAAUUAGAGUGUUUCAGGCAGGCAAUGGCCCGAAUACAUUAGCAUGGAAUAAUGGAAUAGGACUUCUGUCCAUUUGGUUGGUUAUUGGACAAAAGUAAUGAUUAAAAGGGACAGUUGGGGGCAUUAGUAUUUAAUUGUCAGAGGUGAAAUUCUUAGAUUUAUUAAAGACUAACUUAUGCGAAAGCAUUUGCCAAGGAUGUUUUCAUUAA